rnacentral:misc_RNA from 1 species
CUCGUGUGGUACCAUUUACAGAUAUAGAGACUAAUGCAGGUAUCACCCCUUCUUGUAGGACCAUUUGACUGCACUUCUCACUGCCAUUGCACAAAACAUAAAGGCAUGAGGCGGCUUGCUCCUGCUCAAUAGGCUCACCCGUGUCCAAUAUUGUUGCUAGCGCACCAAUAAGGCCAGGGGCUGCUACCAUUUCAUCUUUUCCUGAUUUAUUUGUAGCUAAAUUUAUCAACACUGCUAUGGAUUUUUCUGUCCAUGGAAGAUCACCAGGGGCUGCAAGAAGGGAUUGGAGGCCACUGAUGAUACCAGCUGAAAGGAGGUUCAGAAUAUUGGAGGCUUGGGAGGAGAUAUUAUAGAGGGCGUGGAGGGCAUCCAUCUUGCAUUGAGGUUCAGCUUCACCUUGAAGAAUCUGGACUAAACGGAACAGCCUGGCUUGAACCAAUUAUGGACUUAGCAUCUUCAUGGCAGGAGAGAUUCAAAUA